rnacentral:pre_miRNA from 7 species
GUCUAGGACCCCUGGGUGGUCACACAUCUCCCAGCCGAUCCACCACAUGAAAGACCCCUUCAGUGAGUCCCUCUUCAGGGAGGUGCGCACCCAGUAGGACACUGAGGCGG